GUGGAGUUGCGGCGGCUAUACAUGCAGUCGACGAACUCUGGUAUUGAUUGGUGCUUGCAUCAUGAUUUACAUUUGAGUGAGUGGCGAACUGGUGAGUAACACGUGGGAAACCUGCCCAGAAGCGGGGGAUAACACCUGGAAACAGAUGCUAAUACCGCAUAACAACUUGGACCGCAUGGUCCGAGUUUGAAAGAUGGCUUCGGCUAUCACUUUUGGAUGGUCCCGCGGCGUAUUAGCUAGAUGGUGGGGUAACGGCUCACCAUGGCAAUGAUACGUAGCCGACCUGAGAGGGUAAUCGGCCACAUUGGGACUGAGACACGGCCCAAACUCCUACGGGAGGCAGCAGUAGGGAAUCUUCCACAAUGGACGAAAGUCUGAUGGAGCAACGCCGCGUGAGUGAAGAAGGGUUUCGGCUCGUAAAACUCUGUUGUUAAAGAAGAACAUAUCUGAGAGUAACUGUUCAGGUAUUGACGGUAUUUAACCAGAAAGCCACGGCUAACUACGUGCCAGCAGCCGCGGUAAUACGUAGGUGGCAAGCGUUGUCCGGAUUUAUUGGGCGUAAAGCGAGCGCAGGCGGUUUUUUAAGUCUGAUGUGAAAGCCUUCGGCUCAACCGAAGAAGUGCAUCGGAAACUGGGAAACUUGAGUGCAGAAGAGGACAGUGGAACUCCAUGUGUAGCGGUGAAAUGCGUAGAUAUAUGGAAGAACACCAGUGGCGAAGGCGGCUGUCUGGUCUGUAACUGACGCUGAGGCUCGAAAGUAUGGGUAGCAAACAGGAUUAGAUACCCUGGUAGUCCAUACCGUAAACGAUGAAUGCUAAGUGUUGGAGGGUUUCCGCCCUUCAGUGCUGCAGCUAACGCAUUAAGCAUUCCGCCUGGGAGUACGGCCGCAAGGCUGAAACUCAAGGAUUGACGGGGGCCCGCACAGCGGUGGAGCAUGGUGGUUUAUUUCGUUCGGAUUGUAGGCUGCAACUCGCCUACAUGAAGUCGGAAUCGCUAGUAAUCGCGGAUCAGCAUGCCGCGGUGAAUACGUUCCCGGGCCUUGUACACACCGCCCGUCACACCAUGAGAGUUUGUAACACCCAAAGUCGGUGGGGUAACCUUUUAGGAACCAGCCGCCUAAGGUGGGACAGAUGAUUAGGGUGAAGUCGUAACAAGAGGUUUCCCCCU
rnacentral:rRNA from 2 species